CUCCCUGGAGAAGCCAAGCAGGCCUCUGCACGGCCCUUGUAGGCGAGGCCCGGAGCCAGACCCGCUCCCACCCACCAGUGCCGGUCCCAGGGCCCCGCCAUCUCUGACCAAGCUGCCUCCCGCCGCUGGCCUGAGCCUGAGUCCCCCACUUUCUGGUCCAGCUAGCACCGAGAGUUAAGGUUUUAUCUCUAGAAGUCGCCUAUUAAUGCAUGCUGAGCACACCCAGUAAUGGGGCCUGACCUGCUAGAGAAGACAGAGCCUUCGAGGAACUUGACAAAGGUUAAGGACCCUCAGCCGCUGACGACAGCACAGGCACACGGGACUUUAAUGUCGUUGAAAGAAGUCUAUGGACCCUCGAGAAAUACACCUUGCCCGGGGGAUGCUGGGCCUUGGGGUUUGCAGCACAGACAAACGCAUCCCUGCCCUCGAAGAUCUCUUUGUCCGAGGAAGAGUUUUCCAUGGAUCAGAAACAGCUGAGCACCUACUGUGAGACGGGGUGACAGAGGUGACCACACGGCCUCGUCACAGCCACCCUGCACAGGGGGUGUUCUCCCACCCUACCGAUGGAGGGACUCGGGCUUGGACAGGGCCUGGCCCGGCGUUCUCCCCUCCUGCACCUGCUCUUUCCCUGCAGAAAGCCAGAUGUCUGCGCGGCUGGCUCAGAGCUGCCCCCGGGAGCCCGCCCCGCCCUCCGCCCCACGGCACACGCGGGGUGGAUGCGUCCAGCGCCCUGUCCCUGCGCCCGGCUCCCUGCACCGGCCGUCAAGCUGGUGUUCACACCUCGGUCUCGCCUUCCAAAUAAAAUUCUUUAAGAACACAAA